CCCCUCACCACAGGUCACGAGAGGAAAAUCUGAUCUCUAUACUGGGCUCCAAGUGGUGAGGCCGGGCUACAUCCUUCCCUUUUGAUUCUCAGCUUUAACUUGCAGCUUAGAGAAGCAAAAAGCCUGAGAAACAGCUGCUGAGAACUACAGUGAAGCCUGACAGACAAGCUGAGAAAGGCAGGCCCACCGUGCACUUCCGGACCUGCAAAAAUGAAACCAACCAGUUCAUUUCAGUCUACUCUAGGAGAUCACCAGAAAAAUCUGCUGAGAGGUAUGAUGCUAAGCCUACAGUGGACCAGCAGCCAAGGACGCAGCAGAGAGAUGAACAAUGUGACAGUACCAGCAGAAACAAGAGAGAAACAGAAGAGACUUUCCAGGAGAGCUCCCGCGGGGAGCCUCUGCAAAGACAGACGCGGCUCACAGCGAAGUCUCAUCUUUCUGUGGUCUCCAGUCAUCUGGUGCUCACAGAUACACACAGUGAUAAGACAGCUAUUACUUCUCAACCGCCACUGCCACUAUCCAGGUUUUCAAUUACUUUCCUACUUUAUAGUACACAAGUGAAAACAAUACAAUUACAUGGUAUUUUCCACUUAACUUUUGUUUUUACAAUGGCCCAAACUGUUAAGUAAAUCUGUAGCUAUGACCUUUGAAAAUCCUCACUUAUACUACUCAAUGAAAUGAAUCACAUUAAGGAAUCUGUGUGCAUGCAUACUGAAUACCAGGCUUCCUUUCUGGUGUUUCUAUUGGAUUCUUGUGUGGCUUAAAAAAGGGCAGACAGGGGCACAUUGCUCAUAGUUUUGAUGGAACAAAGCCCAAAGGAACAUUUCUGAGUUAAACAUACGUUCUAGUUUUGAGAGCUAUUUGACUAAAAGUGACAAAAUCUCCAAAUAAACACCAUUUCCUUAGAACUGCCAUAUACCCAGUCAUAAGCCAAAUAGUAAGAUGAAAAUACUGUCAUCACUGCCACUCUACUGUGUGACUGGACUUUGUUGAAUACACUGAUUACCGCACUUAAUCGUCAAUCCACGCUAUCAAGUAAAUUCAAUUAUCACCACAUUAUACAUCCAGACACCAAAACUCGGACAAACUAAGAAAAUAAAUCGAGGUAACACAGCUAAGAGGGGAGACACAAAUGCAGGUAGUGUAACUCCAGCGUUAGAAAUCUGCCACCACAUCAGAGUAAGGUACAACUGUUUGUAUCGUGAAUAAAAAUAACAAAAUUUCUCACUGAAUUAUUUUUGUACUCAAUUGUGAACAAAAGCAAUAUCCCUAGCUUAGGUUUGCAGUAUCCAACGUGUACAUUCUUUACCCUGGGUACAAAUUCUAAAAUUACUGAGCCAAUUCUUCAUUAAAUCCCUGGGAUGUAAAUGAACACAAUUUAAUCGCCAUCUCUGGUUUUCACAAGAAUAAAACUGUUCUUCAAGGGAAACAGCAAAUAUAGUCAGGCUGAUGAAGGGACUGUAGGUUUUUAAUUUCGGUAUAAAUUAUUGAUCUCUUUUAUAAAUAGGAAUCAGUCUUCUUUUCUGAAAUGAAUUAUAGGUGAAUGAUAGCCUGACAUGACAAUUCUCACAAUACACUUUUUUGCAGAGUGAAGACACAUGAUUUAAUGGAACAAUUUAAAUGGGGAGCUGAACUGUAAAACUCUUUAAUCAUUUGUCAAAAAGUGAUUAUCUUCAACCACAAAUCUAAAAUGAAUGCUUAAGAGUCGAGGAAUUGUGGCUGUUUUUCGAAAGUUAAAAUUCCCGUAGAAUCACUAAAAAGUACUACCUAAAAUGUUCAAGUGGAUCAAUUGUUUAUUCCUGUUCGUUUCUGGAACUAGAAUCAGAUGUAACAGCAAACCUCAAUUUCUAACUUCAGCUUUUUGGAAGUCAAAAAAAGAAGCCAAUUGAUAAGCCAUAGAGCUGGACCACUAUACACAGCUGGGCUGAAUUUUAUCUGGACAGCUCUUGUCCCUAGUAAAUGUCUGCAUACCUCUAAUGACUACUCAAUCUGAACUUUUAAGAAUUACAUGAAAAUUAAAAUUUUAUUCACAAUUAUCUAUUUUUGUCAGAGAUGCCUAAUCUUCUCUAACGAAAGGAGUUAUUCAUUAACAUUCAUCACCUGAAUGUUUUACAUCAUAAUUGCACUGGUCUCAAGUAAUUCUUAAUACAACUGUAUUUGUGUCCAGAUCACCAUUAUUUAAAAAGGCAUCUCAUAGUCUUAUGUGACAGAUAGCUUUUCAUAGUAUCUCUGAGCACUUUUCCAUCAGUAUGUUAAUGCACCAAAAUCCACUUACAUAAAACAAAAAUGGAAAGAGAAAGUACAUGAGGUUAUAAACCAUGAGGUUUCUUCUCCCUAAAUAAUGUAAAUAUAUUUUCCAUUUUGAAUUAUUGGAACCUUUGGUAAUAUAGUCUUGUUCAAAUAUUGUAUGAGCUUCCACCAUCUUUAAUUUUCUUUCUUGGCAUCAGGAAUCAGAUCAAUUAACAUGAGUCGGAGUCAAACUACAUACAUAUCUACACCUUGUAUUUGCAGAAAACCAAAUAAAAGGUUCUUUUCAGCCUAAUAUAUUGUAAGCUUCUAAAUAACUACACACACUUAAAAAUAAUCCUAAUUCAUUGCUGAUUCAUCUAUGUUCUUUUUCAUUAAGAAAUUGCAGAUAUUUAUCAGAGGACUGGUAAAUCAUCAUUCUUCACAUCUGUGAUAUGCAAGACAUAAUUUAUGUAAGAAGCAAUUCAUCAAAGAAUUCAAUGCAUCCACUGAUUUUUUCUUAACAAUGAGAUCUCUCCACUCCUACGAAAAGUGGCAGCUUACACAAUUUUAAAACUGAAACUCCUGUAGAAUCCCCAGUUUAGUCAAUUUACCCCAUAUCUUUAGGGAAGCAUUAAUUAUAAAUAAAUAAAACAAACCAAAGGUAACCAA